AUUCCUUCCUUCCCUUCGACCACCGUCUUAUUUUCUGAAGUUGAUCCCAGUUUUAAUUGAAAUACUCCACUUCUAUUGGUUGUUACUACCGAAUGCAACCCAAGGAGACUCAAGGGAGGACUGAUCUAUAUGUAGGCAGGUGGAUGAAAUCCAAGCCACGAGACAAAGCUAGAUAGGUAUGUCGCACGUUACGGUGAAUUCAGUUACAAUUCAACCAAAUGGAGGCCAAGCGUCCCAUGUGUGGAUCAAUGGAAAGCUUUCAGGAACUAAUUGGUAAAGGGAAGGUACAAUAUAUCGGUGUUUCCAAUGAAACCACGUACGGAGUAAUGCAGUUUGUACAUGCUGCAAAGCUUGAUGGACUUCCAAAGAUUAUGAGCAUCUAGAAUGGUUAUAGUCAACUUGUGAGAUACAGCUUCGAAGGUGAAACAGAGAUGUCAGCCAUAAUUUAUUCAUUUUCAUUCACUGGAAUUCCAUGCCAUCCCUGUUGUUCUGAAACUUAUUUGCAGACAUGUAAUUUAGAGAAAGAGGGAGGAAAGAACUCCUCGGUUGUAGUUCAGAUCAUCGGCCUGCUGUCAUCUCUUUCAUAAUUAAAAUUUUAGUCGAAUAGUUAUGUUUAGUGGUUAUCAUUCAUCAUCAUCAUGAGAUGAUUUUAUUUUGUGGAUGCUUGAGUUUAGAAAAUUUAGGCUCUGCAGUCCAUCAUCUCUAUAGGUAUAAGUCUUUGUAGGAUGUAAGACUGCUACUCUAUGUUCAUAUAAGCCUACCUAUUAAUAAUAUUUCCGAUUUAUUUUAUAAA